UUUUUUUUUCAAAUAACAAUAUUGUAGGUAUUAUUCGCGCUGAAGCCGGGCGCCACAAAGUUAACAAAACGUUCAACAAUUUCAAUUCCGACUUUUUGGAAAAAUGUUUGGUAUGUAUGGUUAUGUUAUGAGUUAUGACGAACGCCGCUCAGUUAGAUGUAAAGUUCAUAAAACUUGUCUGACAUUAUAAUUACUUAUGCAUCACAGCGGUUUGUUGGAAAACGUUAAACGAAAUCGGAAGCUGUAUAUUACAGAUGCGUAGAAACUAUUUUUCUUAUGGGGGAGAGGGGACACAAAAAUAUAGAUGUAACGUUCCACGGUUACUCCGUCUGUAUUUCCUGAGACUCGUUUUCCCCAUUAUAAGCGUGUAGGGGAAAGGUUCAUCUCCUCUAUCUAUGUUUUUUUUUUUUUUUU